ACGUACACUCCUACGGGAGGCAGCAGUGGGGAAUAUUGCACAAUGGGCGCAAGCCUGAUGCAGCCAUGCCGCGUGUAUGAAGAAGGCCUUCGGGUUGUAAAGUACUUUCAGCGGGGAGGAAGGCGAUAAGGUUAAUAACCUUGUUGAUUGACGUUACCCGCAGAAGAAGCACCGGCUAACUCCGUGCCAGCAGCCGCGGUAAUACGGAGGGUGCAAGCGUUAAUCGGAAUUACUGGGCGUAAAGCGCACGCAGGCGGUCUGUCAAGUCGGAUGUGAAAUCCCCGGGCUCAACCUGGGAUCUGCAUUCGAAACUGGCAGGCUAGAGUCUUGUAGAGGGGGGUAGAAUUCCAGGUGUAGCGGUGAAAUGCGUAGAGAUCUGGAGGAAUACCGGUGGCGAAGGCGGCCCCCUGGACAAAGACUGACGCUCAGGUGCGAAAGCGUGGGGAGCAAACAGGAUUAGAAACCCCUGUAGUCCC
rnacentral:rRNA from 1 species